rnacentral:lncRNA from 1 species
GAGGAUGUAUCCCGAUGUUCACUUCCUUGGAGGGAAGCUAGUCACCGUUAGAGAGGUCGAUGUUACCACGAAGGCACACCAACGCCACGAAGGCUCACCCUAUUCUCCUUGAGAUAUCACCAUGAAGGCGAUUCUCAACCACUAGUGGUAGACCUUGAGGCGGCCUCCAAACCUUCACAAACUUUCCGGGGGACAAAUCACAAGUUGAUUCCUCACCGGAGCACUCCUACCGCCUAGGAGUCUCCAACCUCCAAGAGUAACAAGAUCAAGGGGGAAAUGCUCAAGACUUGCUCAAAUCACGAAUUGCUUUGGUCACAAGAGGGAGAGGGAGAGGAUCUAUCUUUUGAUUGGAACAACUCUCAAGAACACUCACUAAUCUCUUCGGGAUCUAAGAUUUGGUGUAGGAGAAGUGAGAGGGAGCCACUUUUGUUCUUGGGACGAUUUGGGAUGAAGUGCUCAACCCUCCCCCGGAGUGGGAGAGGGAUAUUUAUACCCCCAAAGAAAAUAGAGCCGUUUCCCGCAGUUGUUGACCUGCCCGGAUGAUCUGGACGCAUACCCGGAUGAUUCGGGCAAUGCCCGGAUGAUCCGGGAAGGUCAAUAUACAAUGCGGUGAAGUAGAUACCCGGAUGUCCGGGGACAUAGCCGGAUGAUCCGGGCAAUUCCCGGAUGAUCCGGGUCGGUAGCCGGAUGAUCCGGCUAGCGGAAUAAGCUUCUGUGAUGAAUUUUACAAAUAACCCGGAUGAUCCGGGCAAAGCCCGGAUGAUAUGGGAGAGGACCCGGAUGAUCCGGCCAAACCAAACUGCUGCAGCCUAGAAACUGAAACAGGCACAACUUUUACAUCCGGACUCCCAUUUUGAUGAUCUUGGGCUCGUUUUGAAGCUAUGAAAAAAAACCCAGGUCCUCACAUAGAGAACACCCAAGAUGAACCAAAAUGGAGGAUGCAAAAUAUGCAAAGGUUUUAUCAUGUAUUUGGGUAACCUAUUUGGCUUUGAAUUUUCUUUGGUAUAUAGGAUAUGAGUGGAAUUGUGUAGAGAAGAUGUUGACUUGAGCAAAUCUAUCACGAACCCCUUUGAUCCCCUCUUAAUAGUGCGGGAUCCCUAUAACUCAAGAAUCAUAAAAGGUCUACACUACAUAGCUAUCAAGAAUCCAUUCUUGAGUGUAUGUGUUCCUUCGGUGUUCAUCACUCCACAACACUAACGUCGAAGGAACUAAUACCUUUGACUCGAGCCUUUCACUUGAGCUUGAAGUUGAAGUUUCUUCUUGGAUCAAGUUGAAUGGAAAGACAUUGGUGAAGUCUUCAAGUAUCUCCCCCAUACACAAUGUGGGAAGCUUUGCUUUGUAUUUAUCUUCAUGUGUCCAUCAUGUGAUCAUCCACAAGCUUCAAGCAUGUAAUCCUUCGGGAUAGUUAUCUUGAACUUGCCCUUGUCAACCAUGAUCAUCAACACUUGAUGUCAUCCUAUCAUAGACACUUGAAAUCUCUCUCUCGAUGCGAGCCCAUGAGAAUCUCCUCUCAAAAACAUAGGCAACACAUAGUAUGGGUUAGUACACAAAGCGCAAUUGACAAAUUCUUACCAUACCACAAGAUCUCACGUGGCACAUGAUUUGCGCUUGUGUGUUGACCAUCUUUGAAUUCAAUCUUCGAUCUUCAUCUUGGUCAACCUUAAUCUUUGCUCCAUGAUUAAUCUUGAUGCACAACUACAUGUAUAUGGCAUUCAUUCCGAAUCCAUUCAAUAUCCUUUUUGCAUCACCCAUGGAACAAACCUUCCUAUAUAACUUGAUGUCAUUGUUUCUUCAUAGGAAUUGUCAUUCAUUAUCAAGUCUCAAUGCAUAUAUAGAUGUUGAUGGAUUUCAUCCACCAAUUCAUCCAAUAUUCUUCAUGCAUUGCAAAUGGAACUUUCCUUCAAAUGUAUAUCUCAGUGCAAGCAUUAGUCCAUUAGGAUUGUCAUUUAAUUACCAAAACCACACAUGGGGACUACAUGUACUUUCAAUCUCCCCCAUUUUGGUAAUUGAUGACAAUCUCAACAAGAGGGUUUAUAUAAUGAAUCUUUCGACAAGCAUGAAAUUUAUCCAAAGAUAAAUUGUAUACUUGGGAUGGUUGUAGUAUCAUCAAUACACUACACAAGCAUUUGAUGAUAGUACACCCAUAGUAUAUAGAGCAAACUCCCCCAUAAUAUAUGAAUUUGUGAAUGAACUUUGAAUGUCAUUGCAUAUAUUGGUUGACAUAAACUAGGAGAAGAUUUCUCUAUAUACAAGACUUAUCCAUGCAAUAAGAAUAUAUAACAAGGGUAGAUAUGCAUGAGUGACAGCAAGAACUAGAAAAGAUAUUUAUCUUAAACCCUCUAAACUUCUCCCCCAUUGACAACAAAUGCCAAAAUGGAAGACAAAACAUCUAGCAGACCAAUAUAGUAUGAGUUCCUCCUUGAUGUGUGCAUAUAACAAAAUGUGAGUGAAAACAAAUGCACAUAUUCAAUGAUGAACAAUUAAAGGAGCUCGAAAUCUAUAGAAUACAAUCAGAUACGAAGAUAUGAACUUUUUCAUGUAUAAAAAUUUCUAAGUGGCCUAUAAUAAUCAUGAUAUGUAUCCACAAAGAAACUCGUAUACACAAAAAGAAAGGUUGCAAUUGAUAAGAACAUGAUAUCCACAAGUGAAUCCACUAUUAUACAACUUGAGCCUAGUCAUAAUAGCAAGGCACAUGGCACAAAGCACAUGGCACAAAUUGAUCUCAUUUGCAUAACACAAAGUGAAGCAAGCAAUCAAAAGAUCCGAUGAGCCAAAAGGAUAAAUGAAUACUACGAUUUGGGAAGAGGAGUGUUCUAAGGAAAAUAGAGAAGCUCCCCAUGAUUUGUGCACUAUUUAGAAUUUUUGUAUUUGGAUACAAGUGCACAAAAUAGGAUCAUCACUCCCCCAAAAUCAAUAGGAACACAAAACAAUUGCAAGCAAGCAUAGAUAAGAAAAGAAGCCUAGCAUUUGCAACAAACAUAUGGUUGAGCAACAUAUAAAUGAGGCAACCUAAGAAUAGGCACAACCAAAAUGAUAUGUGUGAGUCACACACACAUCAAGCAAAUGGAUUCACAAGCUCACUAGUAGCAAAUUAAAAAUCAAAGCUUGUGACAACCCAUGAUGAAGAUAGGAAAUAAUAGGCUUGUCAAGACAAGCACGAGGACAACAAUCUUCACCAAACAUGAGUGCACUAAGAUGCAAAGAGGUAAGACGCGCACUCAUACAACAAAUGCUUCCACGGAGCUACCAAAGAUAUAAAAGAGAAUGAAACGGUGGACAUGAAAGAAUAGGGAUAUCAACUAGGGAUGUAACUUGGCUCACGUGUAUAAGAUUCUAGGUAGAUGACAAUCAUGAUGAUAUACAUCCACAAAGAAGGAUGUACACAUGAAAUAGUUACAAAAGGAAAGAAUAAGAUAUUCAAACGGGAGACAGAAAAUAUAACAAUGAGAUCUUUGCUUGAAAGUAUAGCACAUGGCUUAAUGUAAUCUUAUCGUAUAUUAAUGAACUCCAAACACACAAUCAUCAAAGACAUCACAACUAGCAACAAGAGAUCAUUGUUGCGAUUCUUUGAGAAAGGAAACAAGUAUGACAAGAACGAGUCAAGAAAUUCAUGCCAUGAUGCAACCUACACAAGGUUGAAUGCAAGAAGUGUAUGCAUGAAGUAGAUACUUGUUACCGUGAUAGCAUUGGAAUGAUGUAGUAGGUAAUGGUUCGAGCUUGGCUCUAAUUUCCUCAUAGUGCCACCACUUUCAUGAAUAAGUCAAGCACCCAAUGCUUCUCAAAUGUACCUAAAACAAUUUAAGUACAAUAUGGUCCCCAAACUUAUUGGGUCUAAAGUAGUUAGCAUAACUUCAAAAUAUAGGGUAUCAUCACUUAAAUAUGUGCAUAUCGAUAUGAAUUUGAAUAUCAUGCACAUCUUAGCUAUUAAGAAUUUGAUGGAUUUACCAUAUAUAUAUUGGAUCAAAUAAAGCAAACAAGGCAUGCGAAUUUACACAUAGUAAAUACACAUGCACAAGCCUCCCAAAAUCCAGGGAGAUACAAAUUGGACAAAUGAACACAUAACCGUUAAUACUUCCAAUAACAUCACUAGUCAUUCAUAUUGUCCAAAAUGGCUCAAAGUGACAAAUCAACAUAUGAUAGCACACAAAGUUCAACAUAUGAACCAAGGAAAAAACAAUGAGCAUAUAAGAUAUGCAUUGCACACAUACUCAUGGGAAUAUCUCACUCAAGUAGAUAUAGGACACUAUAAACAAUGAGAUAACAAACUACCAUAACUCCAUACAAACUAAUAAGAUGAACUCGAACAAAAUGGUGUUUCAAUUUGACAUUUGGUGUAGAAACCAAAUAAGUACAUGAUCAUCUAUACUAACACAAGCAUAACAUGAGAGUUUAGAAAUAAAUACAAUGCUUGGAUAGCAUAUUAUUAACAUUCCAAUUAGAUAGAUCAUCAUGCAAAGCAACAAUUAGAAUGGAUCUAUUCAAAUGAUUUUCCAAAUACGAUUUUUUUAAGAUAACCAUGGGCAAAACCACACAAGAAUACCAUACUCAAACAAAGCAUUGCAUGCCACAGAGAUAUAAGAUAAUCUCAAAUAUAAAUUCUAAGUGGCAAACUGGCAAACCUCUAUUGUUAAUGUUCACACGAGAAGUGAUAUGUACAAAGUAUAUCACUCCCCCAUAAUGUGAUAAUCCAUGUAUUAUCCAUAAGAGGCAAAUGAAACCCAACUAAGGAUAAUUAAUGGAUGAGGAUUUGAGUUUCAAAUGAACUUUACAUACCACAUAGUAACUGGAUAAUAUUGCACUAACAAUACUAGGUGGUAUCCUACAUAUAUACAUAUUUAAGGUUUGUGAUAUGCGUAAAUCAUAGCACUCCCCCAUAAUGUGAUGAUCAAUUAAUAUCUCAAAAACACCAAUGAAGAUUCAACUAAUGAAGCAAUAAAGGCUUGAAACCACACACGCACAAAUAUAUGAAGUGCAUUGUGACCUACACAUGCUAGAUAACACAAAUCAAGCAUACUAGGAAGCACAACUCUAAAAGCACAUGCUAGGUACAAAACCUAAACAUGCAAGGGACACAGUAACUUUCAAUGUAAACAAUGCAAGUACAAGUUACCGCAAAGAGGAUCAUUGGAUUGAUAGAUAUGAUGAUAAUCCACUUGACUUGGCAUUAACCAUAACAUAUGGUGAAAAUAGUUUUUCUUCAUGAAGUAGCCAAGUCUCCAAUGCCCUCCACACACCUAUUGAUCAAGUUUGUGCUUGAUGGUCCCCAACCAAGUUGGGUCCUAAGAAGUUAGUAACAAUAGGCUUGGCAACCCAAAUGGUCUUGUCCACUUUCAAACUUCUCUGGGAACCCACAAACUUGGCAAACACAUUGCCAACAAUAUCCUUCUUUAGCGAAUAAUGAUUAUUGACUAUAGGAGGCUUAGAUAUGUUACCGUUGGAACAAGAUGAAGCUAUGUGUCCCUUCUUACGGCAAAUAUAGCAACAUGUGCUCCCCUUUCUCUUCUUCUUUACCUUUUCAACUUGGAGAGCAUUAUCUUGGUUAGGCAUGGGAAGAGGCCUUUCAUUAUCUUGAUAUUGAACUUGAGGCCACUUCCCUUGAUGCUUCACACUUGAAGCCUUCUUCUUCAAUGGACAAGAUCUCACAUGGUGUCCAACAUUCUUGCACUUGAAGCAAAUAAUGUUGGCCGAAUUCUUGACUUGAUCUCGUCCCUUCUUCUUCUUCUUGGACUUCUUCUUGUUGGAGAUGAAAUCAAGUCCAAUUUUGUCUUGAGGGUCCUUUUGCACACUCAAGAUAUUAUCACAAUAUUUUUCCAAGUCUUUCUUCAAACUGGUGACUUGGGCCUUGAGCUCUUUAUUUUCCUCUACAAGGUUAGUAUUAACAAAAGAACUAGAGGAAGUAGAAACUUCAUUGUUAGAGCAACAAGGCAUGGUGAGCAAUUCAUCACAAGAUGUACCAAUAUCAUGUAGAGAGGAAUUGCAAGGACUAGCACAUGGCAAUAAGGCAUUUCGAGUAGAAGAUGUGCUAAUAUCCACAUGAGACUCACACAAUUUUACCUUGGUCCACAUAGCCUCAUGAGCUAACUUUAGCCCAUCAUGAGAGAUUAUAAGAUCCUCAUGAGUGCCCGAGAGCUUUUCAUAACUUUCUUCCCAUUUCCCAUAGUUGCUAGUUAGCAAAUCAAGUUGAGUCCUUAGGUCAACAUUUUCUUUUAAUAUCGAUGCUUCACACAAGAUAGAGUUAGUAGCACAAGCAUCAUUAUCAAUAUGAGAGGAGCAUGUAGAAGCUAGGGACUCCGCAUGACUAGCUUGAAGUUCCUCAUGAGACUUAGAGAGUUUGAUGAGCUCUCCUUUGACCUUCUUGUAGUCAAGGUCAAGGGGCUCAAAAUCCUCUUUAAGUUUACAAUGCGUAACUUCAAUCUCUUCUUUUAAAGACCUCAAGUCACUAAGACAUUGAUGAGCCAUAGCAAGUUCAUGUUCAAGUUGUUCACUUUUUGCUUGCUCGUAAAGAAAUAAGUCAUUACGUUUUUGAAAGCAAGCAAGAACAUCUUGGAACCUUUUAUAAGUGUUAUUUUUAGCUCUACGAAGAGUUUUCCCAAUCUCAUAGAGAUUUUGGGUCAAGACUUCAUCAUCUUCCUCAUUACAACUAUCAUCAUUGUCACUAAGAGAAGAUGAUACCUCGUCAUUACCUCUUGCCAUGAGGCACAUGUGAACACAAGGGGUUGAUGAUGAUUCUUUUGGAGAAGAGGGUUCUUCAUCAACCAAGCAUGCCUCAUUUUUCUUGAUUUCCUCUACAUGGUUAGUUUCACAAAUAGAACUAGAGGGAAUCAUGAUAUUUCUAUCAUGGCAACAUGGGAGAUCAAGCAUAUCAUCACAAAUGAGCUUAACACCAUCAUUACAGGAUAUUUCUUCACUCACCAUGUCAUUACCUUGUGGUAUGCCACAUGUUGGUGAAGUGAAAGAUGUUGGGGUAUGCAAGUAAUCGGAGGUGGAAGCAAAUAGAGAGCUCUUCAUGAUUUAAAAAUGUGGAGAACUCCUCCAUUAACUCCCCAAAAAGAAUAUUGUCUUCAUGAAGAUUGGACCCACCAUAUAUAUCUUCAAUUUUGGUCCAAGCAUCAUGAGCCAACAAACAAGACGAGAUUGACUUGAACACCUCGAAGGUUAUAGCUUGGUGAAUGAAACUUAAAGCUUCACAAUCAAGAUGCAUAUCAUCAAGUGAUGGAGAUUGUCCAUCCUUUAGAUUUGAAUUCCCUACAACCACAAUCCGCAAAGCAUUUGGACCCAUGGCCCGAAAGUGACAAAGCAUGCGUAAUCUCCACAUAAUGUAAUUUGUGCCAUUAAAACAAAAUGUGUCAUCGUGCACUAGUUCACUAGUCGACAUCGUUACUCUCUAGGCAGUUAAGCCUAAUAAGGAGAGACCUCGCUCUGAUACCAAUUGAAAGGACCACGAUGUCGCCUAGAGGGGGAUGAAUAGGCGUUUUAAAAUCUUAUACGGAUUUGGCUAUAUCCUAAUGCGGAAAUAAACUAAGAGGAUACUUUUCAAGCACAAAUCCUAAAUAUACCAGGCUAACUAAGUGCACCAACAACUUAGGAUAAACAAGAUGAGAACAACGAGGAUAUGAGUAAGCACAAGUAAGUUACACAAACUUACUCAAUGUAUAUCACAAGAUAUAUAAAUGAAUAAUACACACAACCACAAGUAAGCAAUACAGGCUUACACAAGUUAUGUCACAAGAUAUGGAAAUGAAUGUUACAAGCUAGCAAUUCACACUAAGCGCACGAUAGAACAAUAGUAGCAAGUAUGAAUUGCGGACUAUAAAGUGUUGGCCUAGAUAAUCUCUAUGAUAUGGUAACCAACACAAUAUAAUGAGGACAACAAGAUAUAGUGAAUGCAAGGUCAAGAGACCAAAGUAAACCACAAGUAGUGGCUAGGGUUAGAAUUAACCGAAGACACGGAGACGAGGAUGUACCCCGAUGUUCACUUCCUUGGAGGGAAGCUAGUCACCAUUAGAGAGGUGGAUGUUACCACGAAGGCACACCAACGCCAUGAAGGCUCACCCUAUUCUCCUUGAGAUAUCACCACGAAGGCGAUUCUCAACCACUAGUGGUAGACCUUGAGGCGGCCUCCAAACCUUCACAAACUUUCCGGGGGACAAAUCACAAGUUGAUUCCUCACCGGAGCACUCCUACCGCCUAGGAGUCUCCAACCUCCAAGAGUAACAAGAUCAAGGGGGAA